ACCGAACAUUGCAAGGUCAUACCAGUUCUGGAGAACUUUUCAAAGGACAAACGUCAUCUAGGACACAAUUCGUGGCUAACCACAGAGUGAGUUAAUUCUACAACAUUGUAUUUGAACCCUUCAAAUUGCUCUCUACAUAUUUGAACCUUUUCUCCGUGAAAUACCUGGAAUUUAUCUGUUCUUGAAAGUACAACAUUUUCUCGCAUUCAACAGACUGCUAUCAAUUACCUUUGACAUUUCGUUAUAAUAACAUUAAUUGAACACAUUGUAAAAUUGUAUUUUAUUUAUAUAUUUCAGC
rnacentral:lncRNA from 1 species